rnacentral:rRNA from 1 species
UAGUAGUCAUACGCUCGUCUCAAAGAUUAAGCCAUGCAUGUGUAAGUAUAAAUAGUUAACUUUGAAACUGCGAAUGGCUCAUUAUAUCAGUUAUAGUUUAUUUGAUGAAGAAUACUAAUUGGAUAACCGUAGUAAUUCUAGAGCUAAUACAUGUAUAAAGUCUUGUAGACUGCAUUUAUUAGAAUGAAAACCAUAGGUUUCGGCCUAUUCGUGAGUAAUAAUAACUAAUCAUAUCGUAUGCUUAAGUAACGAUGUG